rnacentral:tRNA from 1 species
UCUGACUGUUAAUCAGAGGGUCGCAGGUUCAAGUCCUGCCUUCGGAG